GCAUCCAUAGUAUAAUGGCUAUUAUGACUGGCUUCCACCCAGUAGAUAAGGGUUCGAUCCCCUUUGGAUGCUCCA
rnacentral:tRNA from 1 species